rnacentral:rRNA from 1 species
CGGAAGGGGCAAGCGUUGUUCGGAAUCAUUGGGCGUAAAGGGCGCGUAGGUGGUUCUGUAUGUCUACCGUGAAAGCGUACAGCUCAACUGUAUUUUGUCGGUAGAAACUGCAGGACUUGAGGCUGGGAGGGGCUGGUGGAAUUCCCUGUGUAGCGGUGAAAUGCGUAGAGAUGGGGGAGAACACUCGUGGCGAAGGCGGCCAGCUAGACCAGUUCUGACACUGAGGCGCGACAGCGUGGGGAGCAAACAGGAUUAGAUACCCUGGUAGUCCACGCUGUAAACGAUGGGCACUAGGUGCCGGCGGUCUUGAUCCCGUCGGUGCCGGCGCUAACGCAGUAAGUGCCCCGCCUGGGGAGUACGGUCGCAAGGCUG